rnacentral:rRNA from 1 species
AACGAACGCUGGCGGCAGGCCUAACACAUGCAAGUCGAGCGAGGACUCCGGUCCUAGCGGCGGACGGGUGAGUAACGCGUGGGAACGUGCCCGUUGCUUCGGAAUCGCCCUGGGAAACUUGGCGUAAUACCGGUUGAGCUCUUUGGGGGAAAGAGGUCUCGGCGAAGGAUCGGCCCGGGUUGGUUUAGGUGGUUGGUGGGGUAAUGGCCUGUCAAGACGACGAUCCAUAGCUGGUUUGAGAGGAGGAUCAGCCACACUGGGACUGAGACACGGCCCAGACUCCGACGCGAGGCAGCAGUGGGGAAUCUUAGGCAAGGGAGGAAGCCCUGAUCUAGCCAUGCCGCGGAAGCGAUGAAGGCCGUAGGGUUGUAAAGCUCUUUCAGCUGGGAAGAGAAUGACGGUACUAGCAGAAGAAGCCCCGGCUAACUCCGUG